rnacentral:rRNA from 1 species
UACGGAGGGUCCAAGCGUUAUCCGGAAUCAUUGGGGUUAAAGGGUCCGUAGGCGGUUUUGUAAGUCAGUGGUGAAAGCCCAUCGCUCAACGGUGGAACGGCCAUUGAUACUGCAAGACUUGAAUUAUUAGGAAGUAACUAGAAUAUGUAGUGUAGCGGUGAAAUGCUUAGAUAUGACAUAGAACACCAAUUGCGAAGGCAGCUUACUACGGAUCGAUUGACACUGAGGCACGAAAGCGUGGGGAUCAAACAGG